UGUUUGCACUGGAGUAAUGCGACUUGAAGAUUAUGAAGAAAGGUAUUUUACGAAGAACCUUAAAUCCCACGUAGUGACCCUCGAGCAAAUGUACUUCAGCAGCAAUUGCCUGGGUCAGGUCGCUGAAAGAGGUACGCAGUGUGUGUCUUGCCGCUACUUGAAACGAGCACUGCAGAUCAGACGAGCGAGGGUCAAAAGAACUGAUAAAAAGAGCGGCCGAUCUGUUGUGCUUAAACUGCGAGCUGCAGCGAGAAGAAACAAGAGGCUAGUUGUUCGCCUAGGAGAUGUGAAAAAUGAACUUGCUAAAAUGAGAGGGAAAAAUGCUGCCAUUCAAGCAGAAGCAUUAGAAGCACAGAUCUCAAAACUGCCCCCCAGACAGCAGGAAGCUGUUCGACAGUGCUUCGCAGCUUCAAAAGUGAAACCUAAUGGUCUACGCUACACGAAAAUGUGGGUCCUGGACUGCAUAAUAAUGAAGAUGAAAAGUCCUCGUCUGUAUGAGCAUCUUCGCCGUAAUAGCAUUCUUUCCCUACCGUGCAAAUCAACCCUCAAGCGCUAUGUAUCUGCAUAUCGCACUGUGUUUGGCUUCAGCGACAAAGUUCUGAGGCAGCUAAAAGUGAAGUCAGCUGAGCUUGAUGCCUGGAAAAAACAUGGUGGAUUAGUUAUAGACGAGCUAAAGCUGUCGGAACACUUUGCAGUUAAAACGUCUGGGGUUAUUGAGGGUUUUGUAGACCUAGGCCCUUUCACAGCAGCCAAAGACAAAGGUGUCCCAUGUGACCAUGGCAUGGUUAUACUAUUUGUUCCCUUUCAGGGAAAAUGGAGCCAGGUAAUUGGCUAUUUUGCCACACAUGGCAACAUGAAGGGGGACAUUCUUGCCAAAGUUGUUAUUGAGGCAACCGUAUUGGCCGAAAAGAGUGGCCUUUUUGUUGAUUUCAUUACAUGCGACGGCGCAAGCUGGAAUAGAAGGAUGUGGAGGAUACUUGGGAUACAAGCAUCAGCUGAGUCUACCACCUGCAAAAUUCAGCACCCCAGCGAUGCAUCACGAAACCUCUUUUUUAUAUCCGACUUCCCUCAUCUUAUCAAAUGUCUACGCAACUCAUUGUUGAAAUCUGGAUUCAAUACUCCAGCUGGCCAUGUAAGGCUCUUCUUCAUCUUAUUGAGGAUUUUGUUGUGCUAUUACUCACUCUUGAAGCUUAACAGGGUCCUCUCCAAUUUCUUUUUAGGUGGAUAUGCAACACGUAAAGGAAGCCUACAAAAUGGAUUCCCGCAAUGUUACCCUCAAGGUUAUGCCAGGGAUAACACGAUGUCAUAUUGAGCCAAACGCAUUUGAAAAGAUGAGAGUCAGUUAUGCGUUCCAGCUUUUCGGCACUAAAGUGCUCCAAGCUUUUCACCUGUAUAAGGACACGUUAGAAGCCACUCUUGGAAGAAUGGAUGCAACUCAGGAAUUCUUCAGCAAAAUCCACCAGCUGAUAUCUGUGAUGACCUCACGGUUCCCUGCGGAAGCCCUCCGGCCAGAUUCUCGAGCAACAGCUGUGCUGCAGGAUUUUUUAUCCUAUCUUAAAGCAUGGGAGGAGCAUGUAAAAGGGACAGGUGGCUUUGUGAGUGAGUCCACGGCAACAGGUCUGCGUGUAACCAUUUCAAGCACAUUAGGCUUGCUAGAUUACCUUACAAGAAAAGUAGGUUUUAAGUACCUAAUGACCUCCAAAACUAGUCAAGACCCUCUUGAAAACCUUUUUGGGAUCGUUCGACAGUCUUCUGGCAGUAAUGACCACCCAACACCAAGUCAAUUUGUAGUUAUCAUUAACUGCUUGUCAUUUUAUGGGCUAGUAAAAUGUGCCAGUCAAGGUAACUGUCAGCAGGACGAACUGGGCUCCCUCCUGAAAGUUGACAGCCUGCCAGACACUGCGCAGAAUGCAGCAGACUUUCAUCUGCCAAUGAGUGCUGCUAAGAGCAUGCACACAGCUCCAUCCUCCCAAGACCAUAACCAGCACAUUGCCAGCAGUGACUCAAGAAUAAUUUUUCACAUCGCUGGCUAUGUUGCAAGAAAAUGCGUUUUAAAAACCAAUUGCCAAGACUGUCUGACCCUUCUCACUAUGCCUGCCCCAGAUGAAACUUUCCAGCUUGCGAGGCUGACAAAGUUUCGUGACAAUGGAGGGCUCCUCUAUCCAACUGGUCGCUUAUUUGGUUUCAUAAAGAAGCUUGAGGACUUGUUCACAGGCUGCUUCUCCCAUGGACAGCUGCACUCUGACAGCAUUUUAGAUGUGCUGACAGUUGUCAAAGCCAGACUUGGCCAAGAGGUUGGUUGUUCCAGUCAUGCUUCCACCCUUUCUCCAAAAAUAAUCAAAUUCUAUGUCACUACACGACUUCACUUCUAUGUUAAAAGUAUAAAUACUGACAAGUCGGGGAAGCGCCAAAAGGCAAAGCACUUGAAGUUGAGCCGCUGCUCUUGAAAUGUGCAUGCUGUCUGCAUUGUCUACUUGUUGCAUUGUGCUUGUCAAGAUAAUAAACUUUUGUUAAAGUUGUUCAACCAACAUUUUGUUUGCAUUUUUUUUUCUCUUUUUCUUUCAUAAAAUAUUUCCUUAAAAAUAAGUGUGGCUAUACCAACAUCACUCUCUGGAAAGGCAGAUAUAGGAAAUUAUGCAGUAUGUUAGUGUCGGGAGAAUUAAAUGCGUUUUAUGUUGGAAUAAUGUAGAGCAACGACUGACGUAUAGGCGCAUGUUUUCUGGCACAUAUGUG